UACGAAGGGGGCUAGCGUUGCUCGGAAUCACUGGGCGUAAAGGGUGCGUAGGCGGGUCUUUAAGUCAGGGGUGAAAUCCUGGAGCUCAACUCCAGAACUGCCUUUGAUACUGAAGAUCUUGAGUUCGGGAGAGGUGAGUGGAACUGCGAGUGUAGAGGUGAAAUUCGUAGAUAUUCGCAAGAACACCAGUGGCGAAGGCGGACUCACUGGCCCGAGUACUGACGCUGAGGCACGAAAGCGUGGG
rnacentral:rRNA from 1 species